rnacentral:rRNA from 1 species
UGGGGAACUUUGGACAAUGGGCGAAAGCCUGAUCCAGCAAUGCCGCGUGUGUGAAGAAGGCCUUCGGGUUGUAAAGCACUUUUGUCCGGAAAGAAAUCCUCUGGGUUAAUACCUCGGGGGAUGACGGUACCGGAAGAAUAAGCACCGGCUAACUACGUGCCAGCAGCCGCGGUAAUACGUAGGGUGCAAGCGUUAAUCGGAAUUACUGGGCGUAAAGCGUGCGCAGGCGGUUUUGUAAGACGGAUGUGAAAUCCCCGGGCUUAACCUGGGAACUGCAUUCGUGACUGCAAGGCUAGAGUAUGGCAGAGGGGGGUAGAAUUCCACGUGUAGCAGUGAAAUGCGUAGAGAUGUGGAGGAAUACCGAUGGCGAAGGCAGCCCCCUGGGCCAAUACUGACGCUCAUGCACGAAAGCGUGGGGAGCAAACAGGAUUAGAUACCCUGGUAGUCCACGCCCUAAACGAUGUCAACUAGUUGUUGGGGAUUCAUUCCUUAGUAACGUAGCUAACGCGUGAAGUUGACCGCCUGGGGAGUACGGUCGCAAGAUUAAAACUCAAAGGAAUUGACGGGGUCAUAGCUG